rnacentral:rRNA from 1 species
AUUGAACGCUGGCGGCAGGCCUAACACAUGCAAGUCGAGCGGAUGAAGGGAGCUUGCUCCUGGAUUCAGCGGCGGACGGGUGAGUAAUGCCUAGGAAUCUGCCUGGUAGUGGGGGAUAACGUCCGGAAACGGGCGCUAAUACCGCAUACGUCCUGAGGGAGAAAGUGGGGGAUCUUCGGACCUCACGCUAUCAGGUGAGCCUAGGUCGGAUUAGCUAGUUGGUGGGGUAAAGGCCUACCAAGGCGACGACCCGUAACUGGUCUGAGAGGAUGAUCAGUCACACUGGAACUGAGACACGGUCCAGACUCCUACGGGAGGCAGCAGUGGGGAAUAUUGGACAAUGGGCGAAAGCCUGAUCCAGCCAUGCCGCGUGUGUGAAGAAGGUCUUCGGAUUGUAAAGCACUUUAAGUUGGGAGGAAGGGCAGUAAGUUAAUACCUUGCUGUUUUGACGUUACCAACAGAAUAAGCACCGGCUAACUUCGUG